rnacentral:rRNA from 1 species
UGAUCCUGGCUCAGAACGAACGCUAGCGGUAAGCUUAACACAUGCAAGUCGAACGGUUGUAUCAGUUUUCUGAUGCAAUAGUGGCGGACUGGUGAGUAAUGUAUGAGAAUCUACCUAAUAGUACGGAAUAAGUAGAUCAACAUCUAUCUAAUACCGUAUGUGCCCUACGGGGUAAAGAUUUAUUGCUAUUAGAUGAGCUCAUAUCUGAUUAUGGUAGUUGGUGGGGUAAAUGCCUACCAAGCUUUUGAUCAGUAGCUGGUCUGAGAGGAUGAUCAGCCACACUGGAACUGAGAUACGGUCCAGACUCCUAUGGGAGGCAGCAGUGGGGAAUAUUGGACAAUGAGCGAAAGCUUGAUCCAGCUAUAUCGCGUGGAUGAUGAAGGCCUACGGGUUGUAAAGUCCUUUCGUUAGGGAAGAUAUAAGACUGUACCUAAAGAAGAAGUCCCGGCUAACUCCGUGCCAGCAGCCGCGGUAAUACGGGGGGGCGAGCGUUGUUCGGAAUUAUUGGGCUUAAAGGGCGCGUAGGCUUAUUGGAAAGUCAAGAGUUAAAUACAAACGCUUAACGUUUGAAAUGCUUAUGAUACUUCCAGUAUAGAGUCUGGAAUGGGUGAACAGAAUUUCGAGUGUAGAGGUGAAAUUCGUAGAUAUUCGAAGGAAUACCAGUAGCGAAGGCGGUUCACUAGUACAGUACUGACGCUGAGGCGCGAAAGCAUGGGGAGCAAACAGGAUUAGAUACCCUGGUAGUCCAUGCUGUAAACGAUGAGAGCUAAUUGUCGGUCUUUUUUUUGAUCGGUGAUGCAGCGAAAGCAUUAAGCUCUCCGCCUGGGGAGUACGGCCGCAAGGUUAAAACUCAAAGGAAUUGACGGGGGCCCGCACAAGCGGUGGGGCAUGUGGUUUAAUUCGAAGCAACGCGAAAAACCUUACCUACUCUUGCAUCCCGAUCGUAGAUUAUAGAGAUAUAGUUGUCAGUUUGGCUGGAUCGGUGACAGGUGCUGCAUGGCUGUCGUCAGCUCGUGUCGUGAGAUGUUGGGUUAAGUUCCGCAACGAGCGCAACCCUCUUUGCUAUUUACUAACAGGUUAUGCUGAGGACUCUAGCAAGACUGCCAGUUUUAAGCUGGAGGAAGGAGAGGACGACGUCAAGUCAUCAUGGUCCUUAUGGGUAGGGCUACACACGUGCUACAAUGGUGAGUACAGAAAGUUAAUCUUUUAAAACUCAUCUCAGUCCGGAUUGUCUUCUGCAACUCGAAGACAUGAAGUUGGAAUCGCUAGUAAUCGCAAAUCAUCAUGUUGCGGUGAAUACGUUCUCGGGCCUUGUACACACCGCCCGUCACACCGUGAAAGUUGAUUUUGCUUUAAGUAAGAUUGUUAACCUUAAUUGGAGACGUCUUCCUAAGGUGAGAUUAGUGAUUAUGGUGAAGUCGUAACAAGGUAGCCGUAGGAUAACCUGCGGCUG